UACGAAGGGGCUAGCGUUGUUCGGAAUCACUGGGCGUAAAGCGCACGUAGGCGGAUCUUUAAGUCAGGGGUGAAAUCCCGAAGGCUCAACCUCGGAACUGCCUUUGAUACUGGGGAUCUCGAGUCCGGGAGAGGUGAGUGGAACUGCGAGUGUAGAGGUGAAAUUCGUAGAUAUUCGCAAGAACACCAGUGGCGAAGGCGGACUCACUGGCCCGGAACUGACGCUGAGGUGCGAAAGCGUGGGAGCAACAGGG
rnacentral:rRNA from 1 species